AGAGUUUGAUCCUGGCUCAGAACGAACGCUGGCGGCGUGGAUUAGGCAUGCAAGUCGAACGCUCUCUCUGCUUGCAGGGAGAUAGUGGCAAACGGGUGAGGAACACGUGAGUAAUUUACCUUUGGGUUCGGAACAACCUUUCGAAAGGAAGGCUAAUACCGGAUAAGACCACGGUUCAUAAGAACUGCGGUUAAAGAUGGGGAUCCUGAAAAUGGACCUGUCGCCUAUUGAUGAGCUCGCGUCUUAUCAGCUUGUUGGUGGGGUAAAAGCCUACCAAGGCGAAGACGGGUAGCUGGUCUGAGAGGAUGGUCAGCCACACUGGGACUGAGACACUGCCCAGACUCCUACGGGAGGCUGCAGUCGAGAAUCUUUUGCAAUGCCCGAAAGGGUGACAAUGCGACGCCGCGUGAGCGAUGAAGGCCUUCGGGUUGUAAAGCUCUGUCAGCUCGCACGAAAAUCCUUGGUUGAAUAUUCCAGGGAUCUGACGGUACGAGCAGAGGAAGCCACGGCUAACUCCGUGCCAGCAGCCGCGGUAAUACGGAGGUGGCAAGCGUUGUUCGGAUUUACUGGGUGUAAAGGUCAUGUAGGCGUCUUAUUAAGUCGGAUGUGAAAUCCCUUGGCUCAACCAAGGAACUGCAUUCGAAACUGGUAAGAUUGAGUACGGGAGAGGUAAGCGGAAUUCCAGAAGUAAGGGUGAAAUCUGUAGAUAUCUGGAAGAACACCAUUAGCGAAGGCGGCUUACUGGCCCGAUACUGACGCUGAAAUGAGAAAGCUAGGGGAGUGAACAGGAUUAGAUACCCUGGUAAUCCUAGCUGUAAACGAUGGGCACUAGGUGCAGGUCCGCGAGGGGCUGUGUCGUAGCUAACGCGUUAAGUGCCCCACCUGGGGACUACGGUCGCAAGGCUAAAACUCAAAGGAAUUGACGGGGACCCGCACAAGCGGUGGAGCAUGUGGUUUAAUUCGAUGCUACGCGAGGAACCUUACCUGGGUUUGACAUGCAAGCAGUAGGAACCUGAAAGGGGGACGACCUGUAAAGCCAGGAACUUGCACAGGUGUUGCAUGGCUGUCGUCAGCUCGUGUCGUGAGAUGUUGGGUUAAGUCCCGCAACGAGCGCAACCAUCGUCCCUUGUUGCUACUUUUAAGAGCUUGCUCUUAAGAGGCACUCUAGGGAGACUGCCAGUGUUCAACUGGAGGAAGGAGGAGAUGACGUCAAGUCGGUAUGGCCCUUACGCCCAGGGCUACACACGUGCUACAAUGGUCGAUACAAUGGGUCGCGAAACCGCGAGGUGGAGCUAAUCUCAAAAAAUCGGCCCCAGUUCGGAUCGGAGGCUGCAAUUCGCCUCCGUGAAGUUGGAAUCGCUAGUAACCGCAGAUCAGCCUUGCUGCGGUGAAUACGUUCCCGGGUCUUGUACACACCGCCUGUCAAGUCACCUGAGUUGAGUGCACCCGAAGCCGUUAGUCUGACCUUUACGGGGGGACGACGUCGAAGGUGUGUUUGGCAAGGAGGACUAAGUCAUAACAAGGUA
rnacentral:rRNA from 1 species